CUAACGGCCGCAGUAUCCCUGACUGUGCUAAGGUAGCGCAAUAAUUUGCCUUUUAAUUGGAGGACUGUAUGAAGGAAGAAACGUGGAGUUAUCUGUCUCUAUUAUUACUCUGAAAAUUAAUUUUUAGGUGAAAAAUCCUAAAUUAAAAAUAAAGACAGAAAGACCCUUUGCGCUUCUUAUACAAAUUUAAACCCUGAUUUAACUUAUAUUUUAUUGGGGCGAUACCAAGCACAUUACGCUUUCCUUAUACAAGAAUUAUAAUUCUAAACCCCUAUUAGCUAACAACACCUAAGCAAGUCACCUUAGGGAUAACAGACUAAUACUUCUCAAGAGCACGCAUCAACAGAAGUGCUUAGCACCUCGAUGUUGGCUUAGGUAAUCUUUUCCAUGCAGUAGUGGAAUAAGAGGGUUUGUUCAACCUUCCAAUACC
rnacentral:rRNA from 1 species